UAGGGAAUCUUCCACAAUGGACGAAAGUCUGAUGGAGCAACGCCGCGUGAGUGAAGAAGGUUUUCGGAUCGUAAAGCUCUGUUGUUGGUGAAGAAGGAUAGAGGCAGUAACUGGUCUUUAUUUGACGGUAAUCAACCAGAAAGUCACGGCUAACCACGUGCCAGCAGCCGCGGUAAUACGUAGGUGGCAAGCGUUGUCCGGAUUUAUUGGGCGUAAAGCGAGCGCAGGCGGAAUGAUAAGUCCGAUGUGAAAGCCCACGGCUCAACCGUGGAACUGCAUCGGAAACUGUCAUUCUUGAGUGCAGAAGAGGAGAGUGGAACUCCAUGUGUAGCGGUGGAAUGCGUAGAUAUAUGGAAGAACACCAGUGGCGAAGGCGGCUCUCUGGUCUGCAACUGACGCUGAGGCUCGAAAGCAUGGGUAGCGAACAGGAUUAGAUACCCUGGUAGUCCAUGCCGUAAACGAUGAGCGCUAGGUGUUGGGGACUUUCCGGUCCUCAGUGCCGCAGCAAACGCAUUAAGCGCUCCGCCUGGGGAGUACGACCGCAAGGUUGAAAC
rnacentral:rRNA from 1 species